AUUGAACGCUGGCGGCAGGCCUAACACAUGCAAGUCGAGCGGAUGAAGGGAGCUUGCUCCUGGAUUCAGCGGCGGACGGGUGAGUAAUGCCUAGGAAUCUGCCUGGUAUUGGGGGAUAACGUCCGGACACGGGCGCUAAUACCGCAUACGUCCUGAGUGUGAAAGUGGGGGAUCUUCGGACCUCACGCUAUCAGAUGAGCCUAGGUCGGAUUAGCUAGUUGGUAGGGUAAAGGCCUACCAAGGCGACGAUCCGUAACUGGUCUGAGAGGAUGAUCAGUCACACUGGAACUGAGACACGGUCCAGACUCCUACGGGAGGCAGCAGUGGGGAAUAUUGGACAAUGGGCGAAAGCCUGAUGCAGCAAUGCCGCGUGUGUGAAGAAGGUCUUCGGAUUGUAAAGCACUUUAAGUUGGGAGGAAGGGCAGUAAGUUAAUCCCUUGCUGUUUUGACGUUACCAACAGAAUAAGCACCGGCUAACUUCGUG
rnacentral:rRNA from 1 species